rnacentral:rRNA from 1 species
UUCCUUUUUUGGAUGAUGGGCACACUAAGGGGACCGCCUAUGAUAAAUAGGAGGAAGGAGUGGACGACGGUAGGUCCGUAUGCCCCGAAUCCUCUGGGCAACACGCGGGCUACAAUGGCUAAGACAAUGGGUUCCGACACCGAAAGGUGGAGGUAAUCCUCUAAACUUAGUCGUAGUUCGGAUUGAGGACUGUAACUCGUUCUCAUGAAGCUGGAAGCGUAGUAAUCGCAUUCACAUCGCGCGGAACGGCCAA